rnacentral:lncRNA from 11 species
CCUGGUUAGAGAGAUUGUACUAAGGUCUAUUCUACACAACAGACUGAGUCAUUUAGAAACUUUCCUCCCAGUCGUCUCAAAGUUCAACUAUCUGUGUUUGAGAAAAUGAAAAUGCAAACACAAUUAAGUUUCAGGCAGCUGACUGAAGGGGCUAAUGCAGCUGGGUUCAGCCCUGAUUCUACUGGAAUGCAGGCCUAACACAUUGUUGAAAACUGGAUGUUUGCUGAAGUAUUUGGAGGCUGAGUGAGAACAUGGCUGGACUCCUCAUCUGUCAUUUUGCUAACAGUGACAUACUUUAACACUGUUAAAGUGUUUUAAGGCCUUCACCACCCACUGAGCCAAGCCAGUCUGCCUAUGGAUUAUACCCCUCCCUUGUUUCUUGCAUUCUACCACCUGCAAUUCAUUCACCCUGCCUUAUCUUGUUCCUGAUUAAAGCAUAUGUUCAGACAUUUCCAAACAAAAAUCUACUGUCUACUGCACGGUUUAUUUUUCACUUGUUAUCUGUUGUCAAGUCAACUUUGACUUAUGACUAAUCUAUGAAUGAGACCUCCAAAUCAUCUUGUCAU